GUCUUGUUGAUUAUAAUUUCAAGUCUGACCUGCCCAGUGAGGAGUUUAACGGCCGCGGUAUCUUGACCGUGCAAAGGUAGCAUAGUCACUAGUUUUUUAAUUGAAAGCUUGAAUGAAAGGUUUGAUGAAAAGAAGACUGUCUCUGUAAGAAUUUGUUAGAAUUUUAUUUUUAAGUUAAAAAGCUUAAAUUUAAAUAGAAGACGAGAAGACCCUAUAGAGUUUUAUAUUUUUAAAAUGUUAGGGUUUUAGGUUUAAAAAAAUUUUAUUAUUUGUAGAAAUAUUUUGUUGGGGUGAUGAAAAAAUUAAGUGAACUUUUUUUUAUAUAAGCACAUUUAUGUAUGAUUAUGUGAUCCUAGUGUUUGGAUUAUAAGAUUAAAUUACCUUAGGGAUAACAGCGUAAUUUUUUUUAGAGUUCUUAUCGAAAAAAAAGAUUGCGACCUCGAUGUUGGAUUAAAAUUUAAUAUUGGUGUAGAAGCUAAUAAGUUGGGUCUGUUCGACCUUUAAAAUUUUACAUGAUCUGAGUUUAAACCGGUGUGAG
rnacentral:rRNA from 1 species